GCUUAUCUGUAGAUACGAAGUUCCCAGGGCUUGAGACAAGGAUAUGUACAUUUACAGAAAGAAUCGAAGGACCUUUGCACUUUGGAAUACAAUAAUUUCAUUACACAAAAGGAAUAGAGAUUCUGAUCCGGGAACUAUCUGCUGCAAGGAUGCUCAGCAGGUUAGAGCCUUUCGGCCAAACGCUCACAGGUGCCUACAUCAUGGUUCUGCUUUCCCACUUUCUGGACCAGCUUCCUAUCCUCUUCAGCAUUCCCUGUAACUCACACGAAAAGACGGGAGUCAGUGAUCGGCACUUUGUGAAUUGGCCUUCUUUGCUUGAAGGUUUUGUAAAACAGCCUUUUCUUUGCC